rnacentral:piRNA from 1 species
UAUGCUUGUGCCCUUACUCCA